rnacentral:rRNA from 1 species
AUUGAACGCUGGCGGCAUGCCUUACACAUGCAAGUCGAACGGCAGCACGGGUGCUUGCACCUGGUGGCGAGUGGCGAACGGGUGAGUAAUACAUCGGAACGUACCUUAUCGUGGGGGAUAACGCAGCGAAAGCUGUGCUAAUACCGCAUACGCCCUGAGGGGGAAAGCGGGGGAUCGCAAGACCUCGCGCGAUUAGAGCGGCCGAUGCCUGAUUAGCUAGUUGGUGGGGUAAAAGCCCACCAAGGCGACGAUCAGUAGCUGGUCCGAGAGGACGAUCAGCCGCACUGGGAGUGAGACACGGCCCAGACUCCGACGGGAGGCAGCAGUGGGGAAUUUUGGACAAUGGGGGCAGCCCUGAUCCAGCAAUGCCGCGUGAGUGAAGAAGGCCUUCGGGUUGUAAAGCUCUUUUGUCAGGGAAGAAACACCGGCUCUAACACAGUCCGGGAAUGACGGUACCUGAAGAAUAAGCACCGGCUAACUACGUGCCAGCCGCCGCCGUAA